UGAUUUAGCUCAGUUGGUAGAGCACAUCCUUGGUAAGGAUGAGGUCACCGGUUCAAAUCCGGUAAUCA
rnacentral:tRNA from 1 species